GCGGGACAUUUCGGGUAGCAAUAUUCGGAAUGUUUAGCGGCGCAAGGGUGCGUAACACGUGGGCAAUUUGCCAUGAAGCUGGGGAUAACUCCGGGAAACCGGAGCUAAUACCGAAUGUGAACAUUUUUGGGCAUCCAGAGAUGUUUAAAGCUGGGGACCUUUACCGGCCUGGCACUUCAUGAUGAGCCCGCGGCCUAUCAGCUAGUUGGCGGGGUAACGGCCCACCAAGGCUAAGACGGGUAGCUGGUCUGAGAGGACGACCAGCCACACUGGAACUGAGACACGGUCCAGACACCUACGGGUGGCAGCAGUCGAGAAUUUUUCACAAUGGGCGCAAGCCUGAUGGAGCGACGCCGCGUGGGGGAUGAAGGGCUUCGGCUCGUAAACCCCUGUCAGUUGCGAACAAGAUUCAUUCAAUAACACUGGGUGGAUUGAUAGUAGUGACAGAGGAAGGGACGGCUAACUCUGUGCCAGCAGCCGCGGUAAUACAGAGGUCCCGAGCGUUGUUCGGAUUCACUGGGCGUAAAGGGUGCGUAGGCGGUUCUGAAAGUCUGAUGUGAAAUCUCCAGGCCCAACCUGGAAAACUGCAUUAGAAACUAGGGGGCUAGAGGCUUGGAGGGGGAACUGGAAUGCUCGGUGUAGCAGUGAAAUGCGUAAAGAUCGAGCGGAACACCAGUGGCGAAGGCGAGUUCCUGGACAAGUCCUGACGCUGAGGCACGAAAGCCAGGGGAGCAAACAGGGAUUAGAUACCCUGGUAGUCCUGGCUGUAAACGGUGCACGUUUGCUGUGAAAGAAUCGACCCCUUUCGGGGGGGAACUAAGCGAUAAC
rnacentral:rRNA from 1 species